CUACGGGUCGCUGCAGUGAGGAAUAUUGCACAAUGGGGGGAACCCUGAUGCAGCAACGCCGCGUGGAGGAUGACGCAUUUCGGUGUGUAAACUCCUUUUAUAUGUCAAGAAAAUGACGGUAGCAUAUGAAUAAGCACCGGCUAACUCCGUGCCAGCAGCCGCGGUAGACGGAGGGUGCAAGCGUUACUCGGAAUCACUGGGCGUAAAGGACGCGUAGGCGGGUUGGAAAGUCAGGCGUGAAAUCCUACAGCUUAACUGUAGAACUGCACUUGAAACUUCUAAUCUAGAGUAUGGGAGGGGGAGAUGGAAUUAGUGGUGUAGGGGUAAAAUCCGUAGAUAUCACUAGGAAUACCUAAAGCGAAGGCGAUCUCCUGGAACAUUACUGACGCUAAGGCGUGAAAGCGUGGGGAGCAAACAGGAUUAGAUACCCCUGUAGUC
rnacentral:rRNA from 1 species